AUUUCAUCACCCUUACUUAAACAACACACACACAUCGACACAUAUGCCGGGGUGCCUUAACGGGUCGGUUAUAUGGGAUGUGUGGAGGCCUAACC
rnacentral:sRNA from 2 species